rnacentral:rRNA from 1 species
AUUGAACGCUGGCGGCAGGCCUAACACAUGCAAGUCGAGCGGAUGAAGGGAGCUUGCUCCUGGAUUCAGCGGCGGACGGGUGAGUAAUGCCUAGGAAUCUGCCUGGUAGUGGGGGAUAACGUCCGGAAACGGGCGCUAAUACCGCAUACGUCCUGAGGGAGAAAGUGGGGGAUCUUCGGACCUCACGCUAUCAGAUGAGCCUAGGUCGGAUUAGCUAGUUGGUGGGGUAAAGGCCUACCAAGGCGACGAUCCGUAACUGGUCUGAGAGGAUGAUCAGGCACACUGGAGCUGAGACACGGUCCAGACUCCUACGGGGGGCAGCAGUGGGGAAUAUUGGACAAUGGGCGAAAGCCUGAUCCAGCCAUGCCGCGUGUGUGAAGAAGGUCUUCGGAUUGUAAAGCACUUUAAGUUGGGAGGAAGGGCAGUAAGUUAAUACCUUGCUGUUUUGACGUUACCAACAGAAUAAGCACCGGCUAACUUCGUG